UAUCUUGACAAACUUGAGAUUCAAAUAUUCCAAAACUAAAGUGAAACUGUUCAUUUUCAGGUUUUACUAGGGUUCUAUAUUUUAUAGUUUAGAGGAAAAAUAUUAUUGGUCCAUCAUAUACAUUGCUUUGGUCAAAAUUGUUCUAUAUCUAUAUGUAUGCAUAUUACUAUGGUUAUAUCUUCUUUUGCAUCAUAAUCAUAUUUCGUAUAUGAUUUAGUAUUACCGUGGGACUAGAAGGAACAAAAUAAUGCAGACAGCGUCUCUGUUUUCGAAAGAAGCAGAGACCAACACAGAUGCAGAGUCUCUGUUUCAAAGAUAUUGAGUUAGACAGAAGGUUUGGGGGAAAAAAUCACUACAACUAACAUGCCAUAUAUAAAAUUAUUAUUUGUCGAAAUAUUUGUGUACAAUGCUCUUGAGUUACAUUGUAAAGCCAAAUCUCUUGUUGAAGAAUCUUUUGAACAAUAAAGUCCACACUUACUGUUGCAGCGUGCUAUACAAGUUACCAUAAUAUUCUUUCUGCUUAACGAACUGUAUGAAGAGGGACCUAGUUUUAACGCAAAAGAGAAACUCUAUAAACACUUUGUGAGCAUUUGACGCUUUAUACGGAGGGUAUUUCUCUAUUAAACGACUAAACCUAAUACUGAAUCAUAAGGGGGUUCUUUGUUCCAUAUCUUGGCUAUGACCUCUUCUAUAAUCGGUUUCAUAACAUAGUCAGCAUGUACAAUGUGUUGCCAUAUGUUUGGCCAUUGAGCGCUUCUCAAACAUACUUUCUUUUGAGAAAACAUGUAUUCCGUUUCCGUCCUAUGUAAAGAUAUCUCUUUACUUAGUCUACCGGUAAAUUUAUUGUGGCUUAUCACGAGUUCAAAACUUAAACCUGCGGAUUUUUACUACAUUGCUACCUCAAUUUCUUCAAAGAAACCAACUAAUGAUAAAAGCUUUCAU
rnacentral:lncRNA from 1 species